rnacentral:rRNA from 1 species
GCCAGACUCCUACGGGAGGCAGCAGUAGGGAAUUUUCGUCAAUGGGCGCAAGCCUGAACGAGCAAUGCCGCGUGAACGAGGAAGGUCUUCGGAUUGUAAAGUUCUUUAAUUGGGGACGAAAAAAAUGACGGUACCCAAGGAAUAAGCCCCGGCUAACUACGUGCCAGCAGCCGCGGUAAUACGUAGGGGGCAAGCGUUGUUCGGAAUGACUGGGCGUAAAGGGUGCGUAGGCGGUGUAGCAAGUUAGAAGUGAAAUACCUAGAGCUUAACUCAGGUGCUGCUUCUAAAACUGCUAUACUUGAGUGCAGUAGAGGAAAGUGGAACUCCUAGUGUAGCGGUGGAAUGCGUAGAUGUUAGGAGGAACAUCAGUGGCGAAGGCGACUUUCUGGACUGUAACUGACGCUGAGGCACGAAAGUGUGGGGAGCAAACAGGAUUAGAUACCCGCGUACG